CAGUUAUAAAAUAAGUACUACUCUAUAAUAUUUAAUAUCAUUUUGGUUAACUGUUAUGACAUGAUGGGAAGAGCACUGAAUUGGGAGCUAUGAGACUGGGUACUUGUCCAUUCUGUUUCUAUAAAUUCAGGAUGUUUAACAUCUGUGGUCCCUACUCAUUACAUUGUGGAGUCUUCUAUGCUUAAUUCAAGUUUGACAUACUACAUUGGACCAAUUUGC